rnacentral:rRNA from 1 species
GACGAACGCUGGCGGCGUGCUUAACACAUGCAAGUCGAACGGUGAUGCUCCAGCUUGCUGGCGUGGAUCAGUGGCGAACGGGUGAGUAACACGUGAGCAACCUGCCCCAGACUCUGGAAUAAGCGCUGGAAACGGCGUCUAAUACUGGAUACGAAACUGGCCCGCAUGGGCAUGGUUUGGAAAGUUUUUCGGUUUGGGAUGGGCUCGCGGCCUAUCAGCUUGUUGGUGAGGUAAUGGCUCACCAAGGCGACGACGGGUAGCCGGCCUGAGAGGGCGACCGGCCACACUGGGACUGAGACACGGCCCAGACUCCUACGGGAGGCAGCAGUGGGGAAUAUUGCACAAUGGGCGAAAGCCUGAUGCAGCGACGCCGCGUGAGGGAUGACGGCCUUCGGGUUGUAGACCUCUUUCAGCAGGGAAGAAGCGAAAGUGACGGUACCUGCAGAAGAAGCACCGGCUAACUACGUG